CCUUCACCAUCCAUCUCUUUGCCUUUCUUCGAGCUGGUACUAGUUUUCAAAUUGCCACUACCAUGGCCCUGACCAUUCUCUUGAGCACCAUUACCUCUCAAACUAGCAUUGUAGGUGUCAACUAGUUCUUUUUGCUUCUGAAAAUCAGGGCAAAGUCUAGCCAACUGAAGAACAAGAUGUGACAAGCCAUAUUGCCGUACAUAAUACAGGUAUUCUUCAGUGCCAAUUGAACCCUGACGAUACUGUCCAGAAAUGUCUUUAAAAGAAGCAUAUUUGUCCUCAUCACAUUCAAGAGCAGCACGUAUCUUUUCCACCAGUGAUUUGUUUGCAGUUUGAAUAUCUUCCACAUUUUGCAAAACAUUGCCACUGGGAGGCAUCUUGCGGAUUUGCGUCGAAGAAACAGGAGGGAAAUCUGAAAUGGAUGGCCUCAAUGAUUUGCUCUCGGAAAGAUUUGGGGCCAGUACAGAGUGCCCAAUGCUAUUGGUGUUGCCCAAGUUUCCUGAGGAACCAGUCGAAAGAUGUCCGUGAACUAAUACAGGUCUAGCCUGAGCCUGCACCUGAACAGAACUUGCAUAACUAGACAGUGCAGGCCCACCGGCAGAACUUCGUGAAUUUGAAGAUGCAGGAUUUAAGUUAGGCCUAUAUUGCAAUGAACUACUAGAUGCAUUUCCACGAGUUGGAGCUGGCCAUGCCUGAGCUGGAUUAAGAACGGUUACAUUUCUGUUUUGGCGUCGAAGAUGUGCUGCCAUAGUGUUAUUAGGCAAACCUUCUGAUUCUUGUUUGGUUUUUUGUUGAUUACUGCUGGAAUUCAUAAGAAGAGGGGGAAAGGAAGAUUCUUCCAAAGGCGUGUUCCUGGAACCUUGCCCCAAGGCUUGAAGAUAUCUUGAAGGCUGUUCUGAAUCAAUUGCAGUUAAUGAUUCAAAAGGCUGAAGCAAUGGAUCAAUAUAAUUCACAUCUUCAUGAACAGAAACUAUUUGUGCACUAGAUGAUGACGAUGGAUCAUGAGAUGUGCUUUCUGAGUUAGCUGUCUCCAGACUUGCUUGGAUAGCAAUAGAUAUUUGAUCAUCAUAUUGAUCACGAUGGAAUGUCCUUCCCCUUCCACGGCGAUCUUGUUCAGUACUUCGCCUAUAUCGAAAGCUUGUUGGUAUCUGGAGGGCAGCAUUACGCUUAGCCCGAGACAUACGCCCUCCAUGUUCAAUAGUAUUGUGUCGCUUAAUUUCUGCUUCAGUUUGAAAGACAACAAACUUUUUGGCAAGACAGGCCUCAUCCUCGCAUAGGAAAUGCUCUCGGCGGAAAUGAAUCUCAAGGUCAUCAUAGUUCUUGUAGUAUUCAUAUUGUCCAGGAUGCUGCCUUUGGCAUAUAUGACAAGUAUAGUGUUCAGUCGACAUAUGUGAGUACAGCUCAUUAUCUCCAUAGAAUGGUGAUUUGCAAAAUUCACACAUGGGAUGACCCAUGAAUCCACCUCUCUCACUCUCACUACCAUCAACCUCAGAAUCACCUGUGCUUAUAUGCUGAUUCAAUUGUGCUCUAGUGUAAAGUUUUUGUUCACAAAUGAAUACCUUCCUUCCUUCCAAACAAAGACUACACAUAAGCAACCUAUGUCGAUGAAAUAAAUGACCCUUCAAUUGGUCUAUGCUCCUAAACUUUCCCCGACGCUUUGUGCCAUCAUUUGACUCCUUGUCCAUCUUGUCACAUUCACUACAUGAUAGUCUGCACAUGGCCUUUAUCAUCUUGUAAUGGUCCACAUCAUCAAAAAAUGCUUGUGAGUCCUCAUGAUACCAAUAUGACCCAACUCGACCCUCUCUUGGUUCAGAUGGCAAGACUGAAAAGUCAUUAAUCAUCCUUGUAUAAUCUCCUAAAGCCUUGGUGACAAAAAUGACGGGAGACUCAGUCUUGCAGAUGCAGCAGCAACGAUCGCCGCAGAUGAAGCGCAGGCGAACGACGCAGGUAGAGCAGACCUCUCGAUGCCCACAUGCUCCAUAGGCCACCCAUUCGAGGGAAUCCGCGCAAACCGCACAACUAUCAUCCAUGUCUUCCUCUCCGAAAUCAACUUGUAAUUGAUAAAUAGGGGAUCAGAUAGAG
rnacentral:misc_RNA from 1 species